rnacentral:rRNA from 1 species
UAAGACUGGGAUAACUCCGGGAAACCGGGGCUAAUACCGGAUGGUUGUUUGAACCGCAUGGUUCAAACAUAAAAGGUGGCUUCGGCUACCACUUACAGAUGGACCCGCGGCGCAUUAGCUAGUUGGUGAGGUAACGGCUCACCAAGGCAACGAUGCGUAGCCGACCUGAGAGGGUGAUCGGCCACACUGGGACUGAGACACGGCCCAGACUCCUACGGGAGGCAGCAGUAGGGAAUCUUCCGCAAUGGACGAAAGUCUGACGGAGCAACGCCGCGUGAGUGAUGAAGGUUUUCGGAUCGUAAAGCUCUGUUGUUAGGGAAGAACAAGUACCGUUCGAAUAGGGCGGUACCUUGACGGUACCUAACCAGAAAGCCACGGCUAACUACGUGCCAGCAGCCGCGGUAAUACGUAGGUGGCAAGCGUUGUCCGGAAUUAUUGGGCGUAAAGGGCUCGCAGGCGGUUUCUUAAGUCUGAUGUGAAAGCCCCCGGCUCAACCGGGGAGGGUCAUUGGAAACUGGGGAACUUGAGUGCAGAAGAGGAGAGUGGAAUUCCACGUGUAGCGGUGAAAUGCGUAGAGAUGUGGAGGAACACCAGUGGCGAAGGCGACUCUCUGGUCUGUAACUGACGCUGAGGAGCGAAAGCGUGGGGAGCGAACAGGAUUAGAUACCCUGGUAGUCCACGCCGUAAACGAUGAGUGCUAAGUGUUAGGGGGUUUCCGCCCCUUAGUGCUGCAGCUAACGCAUAAGCACUCCCCCGC